rnacentral:lncRNA from 1 species
AUUUAAACUUUGUAUUAAGCGACCCAAACAAUGAUACAAACAAGUUUCAGAGAAAUUCAUCAUUAAAAGAUAACUCGAUCGACCAAUAGAUGUGUACGCGUUCAUCCUCGUGCAGUUGCAAUGCAAUGCCAGCUUUGAUGGGAUUGGCGAGCAACCCUUCCGGUAAUGCACCCUCCGUGACGUAAGCUUAACCCAUAGGUGAACAGUUUGCGCGACGUUGUAACAUGAAAUAGCCAUUUCGAUCGUGUGGCUGGAAAAAAAAAACGAGGCAACUAGGAGUGGAAAAAAGAAAGAAGAAACGAGAGUCCAUUCACGAGGAGUUUAGCUGGCUAAGGUCACGGUGCAACAAUCUUCCGGCUGUUGGUAUGCGAUCGGAUGGAAGGCGCAACGAAAGUAUGCGUGGGUGCACACUCUGGGUUCACCAUGGGUGCUACAACCCUUAACCUUUUCACGCAUUUACGCGGUCAUGUACCCCGUUGAUUCAUCUUUCUGAUACAACAAUUCAUGCUGCACAAUAUUUACGCAGUCAAAUUAAUAAAUAGUAGAAUUUUUGUGACUUUCUUUUUUCACUUUUAACGUUAUCAAGAAUUUUACGUUCGACCUAAAUAUUUAUCUGUAUGUAUUGUAAAAA